rnacentral:rRNA from 1 species
UCGGGAACUGUGAGACAGGUGCUGCAUGGCUGUCGUCAGCUCGUGUUGUGAAAUGUUGGGUUAAGUCCCGCAACGAGCGCAACCCUUAUCCUUUGUUGCCAGCGAUUAGGUCGGGAACUCAAAGGAGACUGCCAGUGAUAAACUGGAGGAAGGUGGGGAUGACGUCAAGUCAUCAUGGCCCUUACGACCAGGGCUACACACGUGCUACAAUGGCGCAUACAAAGAGAAGCGACCUCGCGAGAGCAAGCGGACCUCAUAAAGUGCGUCGUAGUCCGGAUUGGAGUCUGCAACUCGACUCCAUGAAGUCGGAAUCGCUAGUAAUCGUGGAUCAGAAUGCCACGGUGAAUACGUUCCCGGGCCUUGUACACACCGCCCGUCACACCAUGGGAGUGGGUUGCAAAAGAAGUAGGUAGCUUAACCUUCGGGAGGGCGCUUACCACUUUGUGAUUCAUGACUGGGGUGAAGUCGUAACAAGGUAACCGUAGGGGAACCUGC